rnacentral:rRNA from 1 species
UACGUAGGGGGCGAGCGUUGUCCGGAAUUACUGGGCGUAAAGGGCGCGUAGGCGGCCUAUUAAGUCAGAUGUGAAACCCCCGGGCUCAACCUGGGACGUGCAUUUGAAACUGGAAGGCUUGAGUGCAGGAGAGGAAAGUGGAAUUCCUAGUGUAGCGGUGAAAUGCGUAGAGAUUAGGAGGAACACCAGUGGCGAAGGCGACUUUCUGGACUGGUAACUGACGCUGAGGCGCGAAAGCGAUGGGGAGCGAACG